rnacentral:rRNA from 1 species
GACGAACCGAGCGACCGUUGUUCGGAAUCACUGGGCUUAAAGGGCGCGUAGGCGGGUGCUCAAGUCUGUGGUGAAAUCCUCCGGCUCAACCGGAGAACUGCCAUGGAUACUGGGUGCCUCGAGGGUGGUAGGGGUAUGCGGAACUAUCGGUGGAGCGGUGAAAUGCGUUGAUAUCGAUAGGAACUCCGGUGGCGAAGGCGGCAUACUGGACCACUUCUGACGCUGAGGCGCGAAAGCCAGGGGAGCGAACGGG